rnacentral:rRNA from 1 species
CACGUAGGGGGCGAGCGUUGUCCGGAUUUAUUGGGCGUAAAGAGCUCGUAGGUGGUUCAGUAAGUCGAGUGUGAAACCUCCAGGCUCAACCUGGAGACGCCACCCGAUACUGCUGUGACUAGAGUCCAGUAGGGGAGCACGGAAUUCCUGGUGUAGCGGUGAAAUGCGCAGAUAUCAGGAGGAACACCAGUGGCGAAGGCGGUGCUCUGGGCUGGAACUGACACUGAGGAGCGAAAGCGUGGGUAGCGAACAGG